UGGAGCGGCUGCUACAACUGCCCUACGAUGCGGCGGUGCGGACGGCGCUGGCAUCGCUGGAGCGCAACAUCCUCCCCGACCUCGUCGUCCGGCGGCUGACGCGCCUGCUCCUCGCCGCCCGCAUCCGCCUUGGCUACCUCCCCUCUGCCGACCUCCAACUCGCCGAUCUCCUCCGCUUCAAACAAUCUCUAGAAGAUAUGCCUAUAGCAGUUCAGACUGAUAAACCAAAAUCUCAGCACUACGAGUUGCCCACUUCAUUUUUCAAGCUGGUGCUUGGGAAGAAUCUUAAGUACAGCUGCUGUUAUUUUCUAGACACGUCGAACUCACUGGAGGAUGCUGAAGAAACAAUGUUGGAGUUGUACUGUGAGAGAGCACAAGUAAGAGAUGGUCAAACAAUCCUUGACGUGGGAUGUGGAUGGGGAUCUCUCUCUUUGUAUAUAGCAAAGAAAUAUAGAAAAUGCCGUGUAACAGGGAUAUGCAAUUCAAUCACACAAAAAGCUUUUAUUGAGGAACAAUGCAAGGACCAUCAAUUGUCUAAUAUAGAGAUAAUUGUUGCUGAUAUCAGUAAAUUCGAAAUGGAGCGUUCUUAUGACCGGAUUAUAUCUAUUGAAAUGUUUGAGCACAUGAAGAACUACAAAGAGCUUCUUAAGAAAAUAUCUGCAUGGAUGAAUCAAGAUAGCCUCCUCUUUGUCCAUCACUUCUGCCACAAAACAUUUGCAUACCACUUCGAGGACAUAAACGAAGAUGACUGGAUUACAAGGAACUUCUUCAGUGGAGGGACAAUGCCUUCUGCAAACCUACUUCUUUAUUUUCAGGAUGAUGUCUCUGUUGUCAACCAUUGGCUCGUGAAUGGGACACAUUAUGCAAAGACAAGCGAAGAAUGGCUGAAACGAAUGGAUCAGUAUUCGGUUACCAUUAGGCCGAUUAUGGAGUCAACCUAUGGGAAGGAUUCAGCGACCAAGUGGAUUGCUUAUUGGCGAACAUUUUUCAUUUCAGUGGCAGAGCUUUUCGGAUACAACAAUGGAGAAGAAUGGAUG
rnacentral:misc_RNA from 1 species